rnacentral:rRNA from 1 species
GUAAGGAGCGGUGGACUGGUUACGAGUGAGAAUGUUGGCAUCAGUAGCGAGAUGUGGGUGAGAAUCCCACAGGCCGAAAACCUAAGGUUUCCUCAGGAAGGUUCGUCCGCUGAGGGUUAGUCGGGACCUAAGCCGAGGCCGAAAGGCGUAGGUGAUGGACAACUGGUUGAUAUUCCAGUACCACUACCAUCGUUAUUAUCGAUGGCGUGACGCAGGAGGAUAGUGUGUGCUAGCUAUUGGAUGCUAGUCUAAGCGUUUAGGCAGUGAGAGUAGGUAAAUCCGCUCUCAUAAUGCUGAGGCGUGAUGGGGAAGGUUCCACGGAACCGAAGUACAUGAUUCCACGCUGCCAAGAAAAGCGUCUAGAGAGAGAAGUAGUGCCCGUACCGCAAACCGACACAGGUAGGUGAGGAGAGAAUCCUAAGGCCGGCGGAAGAAUUACAGUUAAGGAACUCGGCAAAUUGACCCCGUAAGUUCGCGAGAAGGGGUGCCUACGAGAGUAGGCCGCAGAGAAUAGGCCCAAGCAACUGUUUAGCAAAAACACAGGUCUCUGCUAAAGCGUAAGCUGAUGUAUAGGGGCUGACGCCUGACCGGUGCUGGAAGGUUAAGGGGAACACUUAGCGCAAGCGAAGGUGUGAACUUAAGCCCCAGUAAACGGCGGCCGUAACUAUAACGGUCCUAAGGUAGCGAAAUUCCUUGUCAGGUAAGUUCUGACC